rnacentral:rRNA from 1 species
AACGAACGCUGGCGGCAGGCCUAACACAUGCAAGUCGAGCGCCCUUUCGGGGGAGCGGCGGACGGGUGAGUAACGCGUGGGAAUAUGCCCUUCUCUACGGAAUAGCCUCGGGAAACUGAGAGUAAUACCGUAUACGCCCUACGGGGGAAAGAUUUAUCGGGGAAGGAUUAGCCCGCGUUGGAUUAGGUAGUUGGUGGGGUAAUGGCCUACCAAGCCGACGAUCCAUAGCUGGUUUGAGAGGAUGAUCAGCCACACUGGGACUGAGACACGGCCCAGACUCCUACGGGAGGCAGCAGUGGGGAAUCUUAGACAAUGGGGGCAACCCUGAUCUAGCCAUGCCGCGUGAGUGAUGAAGGCCUUAGGGUUGUAAAGCUCUUUCAGCUGGGAAGAUAAUGACGGUACCAGCAG